AGUGGAGCCUGCGGCUUAAUUUGACUCAACACGGGAAACCUCACCAGGCCCGGACACCGGAAGGAUUGACAGAUUGAGAGCUCUUUCUUGAUUCGGUGGGUGGUGGUGCAUGGCCGUUCUUAGUUGGUGGAGCGAUUUGUCUGGUUAAUUCCGAUAACGAACGAGACUCUAGCCUGCUAACUAGGCGUAUUUCGACAUCCCAAAGGCCCGCCGGUUCGAGGUUUCGGCCUCUUAUCGCGCGCGGUUUUUACUGUCGGCGUACAAACAAUUCUUCUUAGAGGGACAGGCGGCAUUUAGCCGCACGAGAUUGAGCAAUAACAGGUCUGUGAUGCCCUUAGAUGUUCUGGGCCG
rnacentral:rRNA from 3 species